GAAUAUUCUUGAUGGGUUGUAGCUGGCUCUUCGGGGCAUGUGCACACUUGUCUUGACUUUAUUCAUCCACCUGUGCACCUUUUGUAGUCUUGUGGGUUGAGAGCAGUCGACUAUCGGAUGGCUAUGGCCUUUCCGGACGUGGGGAAUGCUGAGUGCGAAAGCAUACAGCUCUUCUCAAAUGACUUGCAAAACCUCUCCCUCAAGUACUAUGUAUUCAUAUACCACAUAGUAUGUUGUCGAAUGUGAUCAAUGGGCCUAUGUGCCUAUAAAAAUCAUAUACAACUUUCAGCAACGGAUCUCUUGGCUCU
rnacentral:misc_RNA from 1 species